rnacentral:misc_RNA from 1 species
GAAAUGCGAUAAGUAAUGUGAAUUGCAGAAUUCAGUGAAUCAUCGAAUCUUUGAACGCACCUUGCGCUCCUUGGUAUUCCUCGGAGCAUGCCUGUUUGAGUAUCAUGAAACCCUCAAAAUAAAUCUUUUGUUCACUCGAUUGAUUUUAUUUUGGACUUGGAGGCCUGCAGAUUCACGUCUGCUCCUCUUAAAUACAUUAGCUGGAUCUCUGAGAACUCGGUUCCACUCGGCGUGAUAAGUAUCAUUCGCUGAGGACACUUUGUAAAAAAAAGUGGCCGGGCUCACUGUAGAACUGCUUCUAAUAGUCCAUUGACUUGGACAAUUACAAUUUAUGAUCUGAUCUCAAAUCAGGUAGGACUACCCGCUGAACUUAA